rnacentral:tRNA from 1 species
GCGGAUGGUGACUGAGUGGCCAAAGGUUGAAUUGCCGGGUAAUGCCGGCUUCAUGGCUAGUUUCUUGAGGUGGUCGCCACGGACCGAUACCAAGGGCGCCGCAGGUUCGAACCCUGUCCAUCCGCA